GUUACCGGCUGUUUCCUUGGAAGUCCACGGCUGCUGAUUUUUUCACGUGUUUUCAAUACUGUGAUCCACCCACCCUCCCCGAACUAGAUGCGGAAGGAGGAAACAUCACAGCUGCGAAGAGAGGUGAUGGGACUUGCCAUUUAUGGCAGUAAAUGACAGAAGUAAAAUAUGGAUCCACGUGGCUCUUUUGACUCCAGCAAGAUCUCACUCAGGUCUAAACGGGACAGUGAGGCAGACAACUUCAAGCCCACACAAUACUCUUCUUGAACCUACGAGAUGGACCCGGAGAUACCAGGGGACAAUCACUGGGAAAGCCAGCCCUCUGGUGCUAUGGAGAAUUUUAACACACAUCUGAAUUUAUAGAGUCAUUCAGGGGUUAAUUCUAACUGCCCACCUACUCCCAUAAAUCGUAUCAGAGCCUGUAUAAUCAUCUUGGCAAGUUGUACACCAAGAUUUUCUAAAUAGUUGCUAAGUGGUUCUAGGACCUCAGGUUCUCCCUCUCCAUUAUAUCCUACCAUCAGUUCUAUACUAAUCUUCAGAUAUAUGUGUGUGUCUACACACACACACACACACACGUUCACUUUUCUGCUUAAAACCUUGAAAGGUUCCCCAAUGAUCUCAGAAUAAUGUCCUGACUCCUUCCAUGGGCAUUGGGAGCCCAUCACAGACAAGCCCAGCCCACUUCUCCAGCCUCACCUCCGUGUUACCCCCAACCCUUCCAUCCAGGCUUGCCCAUUCCACCUUCCUGAAACACACCCUGGGAAGUCUUGUUUCUAACCACAAUCCCUAUGUUCCCUAAGCCUGGAACCUCCUCCCUGUACUCUUAAAAUCUGCCUCCUUUAAGAGAGAGUAGAGGAUAGAGGAAAAGGCAAGGCUUUGGAAUCAGCAACCUGGGAUUCCAAUUCUGGCUCCAUUGCCUACUAGCUGUGGGGCCUUUUGGUCAAUCACUUAACUCCCUUCGGCCUCAUUUCCCCAUAUGGACAAUGGGAAUAAUAAGAAUAAACAGUAUAACCCCCUAAGGCUUGCAGAGAAAAAUAAACAUAAUAAAAUAUACAAAAGUGCUAUGUAAACUGGAAAGAACUACAAAAAGCAUUAUUAUUAUUUUAUUAUUAUUAUUAUUAUCUGCACAGUCACAUCCCCUUCAGAUCUCUUCUCUCCUCCAAAGCAGUAUCAUUAUCAUUAAUAACAAUUCUGGGAAUAUUUUACAUAAACAACAUACCUUACGGGUUUUAAAUACCUUGUCCAUACAUCUAGUCCACUGUGCAUCUCACUCAUCUUGGCACUUAACCUUGGAAAAGUAAUUUAUCUUUUCGUGUCUAUGUACUCUCUUCCCAUGUCCAUUAUCACCUCCUUUGGAGCAAUGUCCCUAUUUCAUAUCUCCUUUCCCCAUUGCCAGCACUCAAAAGUGAUGGGCUUGCAAAAGUGAAAGUUUAUAGGCAUUGGCUCUAGAACCAGAGAGGAUUUGAAUCCCAUUUCUGCCACUUACUAGUCGUGUGGCCUUAGGCAGUUAUUUAAACUCUCAGUGGCCCAAAUUUCUUCAGCCAUAAAAUGGGAAUGAUGUUAGCAUCUACCCCACAAAACUAUUAUGAUGCUUAAGUGAGCCAAUAUGGAUAAA